GAAAACCUGCCUGAGAAGAAAGGAUGAAAUUUGAUACCUAUACACGAAGGGAACUUUGUUAGGAAAACUGCUAUGGAGACCAUGCACAUGCUAACCCUGGAGGCAAGCCUCUGGUUCAUUGGUGAUCUACCAACAGUUGGGAAUAUCUGCAGAAUGGAAUGCAAAGGAGGUGGAAGAGAUGGAAGAACGGCCUAUUCUUUAUGAGGGCAGGAAAAGGAGAUGUCAACUGCAGUGUAGCAAGAUGGUUUUUGACCUAAGAGUGGACACGAAACCUGUUUCUAUCACCAGGUCAUUGAUGUGUCUACAACAUAUUGAACAGACUUGCCCUUUGCUUUCAUGCUGUUCCCUCAACAUCUUGUCAUUCUAAUGGAAACAAAUGCCUCUUUCGUGCAUUACCAAAUAUGCAACUGGAAAUAUGCCACUCUUCAAGAUUAUCCUCAAGAGACACAUUUUCCCAUCUCCUCCUCGCCUUCCAUAAAUGCCACGAAGUAGGGAAUGGUUUGCUGGCUAGAGUUGCUUUUUAAAUUGAAAGACUUCCAAACUUUAACUUCUGCUGAAAUAAAAAGGUAUAAUAAGAUUCUCCGCGGCAUAAACAACUGUUCUGCAGGCUCAAAAACAGCAAACCUGGCACGUGGCUACAAUCCCAGCAUCAAAUGAGUUCUCUGGUAACAAUAAUUAUAAUAAAGACAGCCAAUCGUUGGAGAGUUGGGCUUCCCAGAGACCUAAAGUGAGAAGAAUUGCCAAGAGCAAAUGAGAACCAUAGAAGGAAGGAGCUCAGAGCAUGGAGAAGGGAUCACUGGAAGAAGGGGCA